rnacentral:rRNA from 1 species
AACGGCCGCGGUAUCCUAACCGUGCAAAGGUAGCAUAAUCACUUGUCCCUUAAUCGGGACUGGAAUGAACGGCUAAUGAGGACUAAGCUGUCUCUUACGGCUAGCCAAUGAAAUUGAUUUUCCAGUACAAAAGCUGGAAUAUAACCACAAGACGAGAAGACCCUGUGGAGCUUACAAACCAAAUUCACCAAACAUGUCUUUAUCGGUUUUCAGUUGGGGCGACUUUGGAGUAAAAAACAACCUCCAAACACCAAACUAAUUAAGACAACAUAUCAAAAAUAUCUGUAAUGACCCAGCAACCCGUGGUUGUCUGAUUAAUAACCAAGUUA